ensembl:lncRNA
GGUGCCCUGAGAUUAGAAAGCCCUGUGUUCAUUCAUUGAUUCUGUCGCUCUCUUCUCUCUCCAGCAGACGUCCGGUGUGGUAGGGCAGCCGCCUGUUGAAUCCGGUUUUCCUUUGGGUUAAAUGCCCUGGACAACACCCACCAUUUACACUUUACCCUCAUGCACAUCCUACACUACUGAUAAUACUGACAUUCGCAUCCCAUCUGGAAUGGUUAUGGUUUUUCGUUGUUUUGUGUGUUAAAUAAAGAAUGUUACACCUCGGAAACCAGUGUAACUCCAAUCUUGUCAUGGCCCAAAGAGCCAGGUCGUGACAAAUGGGGGCUCGUCCAAUUCUGGUCAGUGAUUUGUUUGAUGAUCAAGUGUGUAGAUUUCGUGUGACGCGUGUUUUUGUGUGGAUCAGCUGUGAGCGGUUGGUGCGCGUUUGGUUUGGUGGUGAUCGCCAGGUUGUCUCUGUUGCGGAAAGUUUGGGAGUCAUGCUGGAUUUUGAAGUUGUGGCUCUGGUUCGUUGGUCCGUUGUAGUU